AUUGUUUUUGGUAUUUUACGCUUAUAUCAAUCCACAAAGAUUAACUAAAUGCCAAUCCAUUCAAAUAGUUUAAGCUGAUACAACAGCAACUUUUUAAAUAACUGAACGAGUAAGUAAUUAACCAAAAUGAAGAUUACCAUAUUCUUGUUGCUAUUUUUAUGUAUAUUUGUUAUGUAUGAAGGAGCAUUCCAUCACAUACCAAAGCGAGGGCAACAUUUUCCACAGUAUCAGGUAACAAAUAAAAAUGGAGAACUUACCAAUCUUAGAAGCAAUAUUGUAGGACUUUCCCCUGUCUUCAAUCCUUGUAAAAAGUGCCACAAGUUAGCGUAUGGUAAAUGUAGGAGAAUUUUUUCCUCGCAAUGUCCCCGUACCUACUCCUCCUAGGGCCUAUUAAAUUACGAGGAUAUACACCUAUUCAGAUUACAAACAUCGAGGAACUACGAAUGGAUAAUUGAUAGGAAUUUACUUUUGAGUUAAACUAGUCAGAUAAACUUACAUAUAUUAUUAUGUAUGUAUGUAUCAAAAAUAAAGAAGAUCUAUAAUGUAACUUCAGUUCUUGCAAUAAGACGUUUGCUAUAAUACGUUUAAACAAAAGUACUCACUUUAAGAUAGUUGUUGUAAACCGUUUUUUCGCAUUUGAAGGGUACAGGGGAAAACAAGGAAUGUCACUUUUUCAUGAAUUUUGGCUUUUCUCGCCAUGUGGUAGCAAAAACUGAGUACUAUCGACUAGACUAUCGAUUCAGAGCAAUAACCAGAAAGAUCAGUCAAUAUAAAUUUUCUAAGAAUAUGUAUCCAGGCGAAGGACCAGGAUUGUCCGCAAGCCACUGAACAAAAAUAUGGAUGUCAGCAGUUUUUUGGUGCACUAUUAAAUUAAUACAUUGAUGUAGAUUAAUAUUAUAUAAAGAUUAUUGUAUAAGAAUUGCUGGAAUUCUGCUAAGAAUCUCCUAGAUAGUCUUUAGAUAUCAUACGAAUUAAAUCUUUAUUGGUGUUUAUCUCAUUAUGUAUAAAAUGUGACAUUUCUUGUUUUUCCCCUAUACCCUUCCUUUGUGUACCUUAACCCGGCAUUGGUCGCUAGGUAGGUUGUUACGCGAGUGGUCGCGCGUGAGAUUUUCUCUCACAUAUCCAACUUUUGCCUUUCUUUACAAAAUUUUACAAAAAAGAUGAGGUUUCAUCAACGAUAAAGCCAUCUGCUUUAAAAAGACACGACGUUUUUCUGUUUUAUUACUAUUAUCUUUAUAUAAAAUGUGACUAUUGAUGCCGCCAUUGAAAAAUAUAUGGUAAGUGACCAUCUACAACUAACCCGUGAAACAAAAUAUAGGAUUUUCAUAUCAUCGACCACAUCCACGGCGCCUUUUAUUACAUCAUAAAAGGAUAUUAUUUUAGGUUUUAGGGGGGGGGGGGGAAAUAAAAUUUAUUUUUAUACACAGUUGGUGACGCCGGUGGUCGCUUGAUGAGAGAAUCUCUCACAAGAAGCGCACUGACUCAACAAUAUGGUGAUACUAAGUAAACUGUGUCACUAUCUGAGCGGACGAGUCUAUUAGAUUGUCGAGGGAGGAUAGUUAGGAGACUAGAAGGAACUACAGCGCGUAUAAUUUCCAGGAAAAAAAGUUGUGCGCAAUUUUCUGAAACCGUGAGAGAAAAUCUCAUAUAGCGACCACUGGCGGGUUAAGAGCGUAGGCGCAAAAUUUCGGGCCAACGCAACGUUUUUAAAUGCAUUCUUUUCGAAUCCUGAAAAAUCAAAUAAUAGUCCAUUCUUUCACGGUUUUUGCUCUAAAUUUUAAAGAACCGCUUGGAUUGACAUGAAAUUUGGCAUACGUAUAGCUUACAUGUCAAUGAAAAAAAGUGAUAUUGUGCCGAUAUGUGCUUUUGCCCUGGGGGUGAUUUUCACCCCCUCUUGCGGGUGAAAAAAUAUAUGUCCAAAAUAAGUCCAGAAAUGGGUAAACUGACUAAUUCUAAGUAACUUUUGUUCUAUAGAGCUUUUUCGCCAAGUCAACACUUUUCGAGUUAUUUGCGAGUGAAUGUGUUCAUUUUUCAUCAAAAUAACCACAUUUUUAGACGGUUUUUCGCAAAUAACUCAAAAAGUAAUUAUUUUGUCGAAAGAACGUUCUUAGCAAAAAUAUAGCCUAUAAAAAAGUAAAAAACAUGGUGUACACCUUAGGUCUCUGGAUCUCGUAGAACCAGAGUUAUAGCCAAUGAAAAAUAGAUUCAUAUUCACCAAAUUUCAAAAAGAGCGUGUUUAAAAAGAGCUUUAUUUCUGGUUUUACAAAAAGUUUCUAGCAUUAAAUUUAAGCAAGUUACUUUCAAAAUAAAGUUGGUCCCUUUUGUUUUUGCAAAAAAAAUCGGGAAGACCACCCCCUAAUUAGCAACUUAAAUGAAAUUAAUCGUUACCGCUCCACAAAUUAUUUUACUAAUGUUGUGUUUAUAUGAUCUAUAAAUUUCAUUGAUUUAAAGUACUUAUUUUUGAAAAAAUUUGGUUUCAAAAUAAAAUUUUUAAAAAUUUAAAUUUUGAAAAAUAUGUAUUUUUUCAAAAUAACUUAAAAAUUGUUAGAGAUACCAAAAAUCUCGAAAAACAAAAAAAGUCAGACUUGCUUUUCUGAAUAUCAUGUAUUUUUUUGUUUUUAUGUUAAACAAAAAUUGAUUGAGAUUUGGUGUUUCUAAAUUUGCAUACAUUCGUGAUCAGUGACUCGUUCAACCCCUUUUAACUACAGCCCUUUCAGUAAUAAGGACUUUAAACCGAUGAAACUUACAGAUCAUAUAAACAAUAUAUACACGAGUCAAGAAACUUCUGAAGUCGUAACGAUUAAGUUCAUUUAAGAUACUAAUUUGGGGAUGAUUUUCUCGAUUUUUUUACCAAAACCAAAAGGGACUAACUUUAUUUUGAGCGUAACUUGUUUAAUUUUGAUGCUAGAAUUUUUUUUUAUAAAACAAAAAUGAAGCUUUUUUAAACACUUUAAAUAAGUUGUAAUGAGUUUUCCCAGAAAUGUGCUUCAUUUUUGGUUAUUUCACGUUAAACUAUUCCAUUUGGAAUUUGACGAAUAUGAACGUAUUUUUCAUUAGCUAUAAGUCUGCUUCUACUAGGUGUAGAGACGUGAUAUAUACACCAUUUUUUAAAAUUUUUUACAGGCUAUAUUUUUGCUACGAAUGUUUUUUCGACAAAAUACUUACUAUUUGAGUUAUUUGCGAAAAACCGUCUAAAAGCGUGGUAUUUUGUUGAAAAAAUGAACAAAUUCACUGACAAAUAACUCGAAAAGUAUUGACCUAGUGAAAAAACUCUAUAGAACAAAAGUUACUUAAAAUUAUCCAGUUUAUCCAUUUCCGGACUUUCUUUGGACGAAUAUUUUUUCACCCACAAGAGGGAGUGAAAACCACCCCCAGGUCAAAAGCACAUAUCGGCACAAUAUCACUUUUUUUCUUUGACUUGUUAGCUAUGUGUAUGCCAAAUUUAAUGUCAAUCCAAGCGGUUCUUUAAAAUUUAGAGGUUUUGCAAUAUUUUACCGUUAAAGAACGGACUAUAAGUAUUUUUGAAAAAUUUAAGCGGAGAAUAAAAAAUUACAUUAUUAUCAAAGGCUGAAAGUCCCUGAAAACUUCUUUAAGGUUUAUUUUAAUAAUAAUUUACAAGGGUAAAAAAACAAAGAGAAAAUUUAGUGUGACUUUUAAUUUCAGAUAUCUUAUUUAAAAGAAACGUUUUGUUUAUUCUAAGGGACUUUCGGCUAUCGGUCAUAAUGUAAUGUUUCAUUCUGCGUUUAAAUUUUUCAAAAAUAUUUAUUAGCUUUCUCAGGAUUCUAAACAAUGUAUGCAUUUAAAAAGCAUUGGUCCGAAAUUUUGCGCCUACACUCUUAAAACAAAAAAUAAUCUAACUGGCGUCCAUUGGAAAGAUAAAUGUUUUAUCCGUUGUGUCAUUUUAGUCGUGUAGUAAUUUUAUUGUAAUAUUUAUUAUUGGUCGUCCGCUAUAACUUUUCCCAUGCGUCACGAUUCAUUUUCAGUAGUAAUAACCCAAUAACAUUGAUAAUUGUUCGAAAAAAAUUUAUAACAGAUUUCGAAAGCUUGUUGCUUGGAAACAGACCGACGCCGUAGGCGGAGGUCUGUUGCCUGUAAGCAACAAGCUUGAGAAAGUUGUUAAAAAAUUUUUGAGCAUUUAUCAAUGUUCGAGGGUUAUUCGGAUAGAAAAUUUUUUGCUGGUUAUGAAAAAAAAUACAAAGCAGAAACAAUUUAUUUAAAUGUGCAAUUAACAAAGGAACAAUUAGAAAAAUUUAAUGAAGAUCCAGACAUGUUAGUUUCUAUAACUGAUGAAGAUGUAUUUCAAAUCGUGACAUUUUGAAAUAUUGAAUAUUUGAAACCUCAAAAUCGAAAUGAAACGAAAUGUAGGUAUCCAUAGCUGCAUGAUUGAGUGAAAACAGCCCAUGGGAUCUGUUUUCAGUAUAAUGUUGGUUUUAUUGGUUGUAUUCAAUCAGAUGACCACAAAUUAAUUGAUUUCAUUGGAUUUCAAAUUGAGCAAAAAAUUUUCAAACAAAUUAAAGUGAAACGUACGCCGAUGUGUGUAGUAUCUAGUAUACAGUAUACAAAAUGCAUGUAUAUACACAUCGACGUUCGUUUCACUUUAUGUUUUGACUUUAUUUUUAUUUGAAAAUGAAUCGUGACGCAUGAGAAAAGUUAUAGGGGACCAACAAUAUACCUAACACAGCUCAAAGAAUGUUACACAGUUACGAAAAAUAUUAAUAAUAAAAAAUGAUUUUAGGUUA
rnacentral:misc_RNA from 1 species